rnacentral:rRNA from 1 species
UACGGAGGAUCCAGGCGUUAUCCGGAUUUAUUGGGUUUAAAGGGUGCGUAGGCGGCCAGUUAAGUCAGGGGUGAAAGACGGUAGCUCAACUAUCGCAGUGCCUUUGAUACUGAUUGGCUUGAAUGUACUUGAGGUAGGCGGAAUGUGACAAGUAGCGGUGAAAUGCAUAGAUAUGUCAAGGAACACCAAUUGCGAAGGCAGGUUACUAAAGUAUGAUUGACGCUGAGGCACGAAAGCGUGGGGAUCAAACAGG